rnacentral:rRNA from 1 species
CGACGGGCGGGGCGGGGGCACGGGGGGCCUACGGGAGGCAGCAGUAGGGAAUCUUCCGCAAUGGACGAAAGUCUGACGGAGCAACGCCGCGUGAGUGAUGAAGGCUUUCGGGUCGUAAAACUCUGUUGUUAGGGAAGAACAAGUGCUAGUUGAAUAAGCUGGCACCUUGACGUACCUAACCAGAA